GUGGGAGCCAAGCUUUGAAACAAAGGAUUCCUGCCAUACGCAAAAGCUAUAUAAGGCAGGUGAGUGACAGCAUCAUGGUUCUUCACUGACUCCCCACCCAAGAAGACUUGUGGAAACACCUAAGGAACAGAGACUGAACUGGGGGAAGUGCUGGACCCAGGCUAAAGGGAUUUUUAGCCUGUGAAUGGAAGAGCUGGGGAUUCCAAGAUGUAAGCAAGUGCACCUUGCCCCUUAAGAAUCUGCAGCCUGCUUAUACCAUCACUUAGGGACUGACAGUGGACUCCGCACUCUACAAGACACAAAAGAAGAAUAUAGUCCCUGAUAUGAUGAGCGUGCAAUCAAAAUAUGCUGUGGAAUGCAGAUGUAAUAUGUUCGACUAUCACCAUCUCUCUGGGUGAUGGAAGACAAGGCAGAACUGGGCUGCAGAAAAUACAGAAUCCCAUUCAAAGUGGCCAAGUAAAGCUGUGACCCAACCUUUGAGGUGUUUCAAGCAACAAUGGCUCAUGUCGCUGGCCUACACAUCUCCAAGGAGAAGGGACAGAUCUAAAGCAGUGGCUCUCAACCUUUCCAGACUACUGUACCCCUUUCAGUCUGAUUUGUCUUGCGUACCCCAAG